UACAGAGGGUGCAAGCGUUGUUCGGAAUCAUUGGGCGUAAAGCGCGUGUAGGCGGCCAUCUAAGUUUGGUGUGAAAGCCCAGGGCUUAACCCUGGAAGUGCACUGAAUACUGGAAGGCUAGAGGAUAAGAGGGGGAGAUUGGAAUUCAUGGUGUAGCGGUGAAAUGCGUAGAGAUCGGGAGGAACACCAGAGGCGAAGGCGGCAAGCUGGAUGGGCACUGACACUCAACUACGAAAGCGUGGGGAGCAAACAGG
rnacentral:rRNA from 1 species